rnacentral:rRNA from 1 species
GACGAACGCUGGCGGCGUGCUUAACACAUGCAAGUCGAACGGAAAGGCCCUGCUUUUGUGGGGUGCUCGAGUGGCGAACGGGUGAGUAACACGUGAGUAACCUGCCCUUGACUUUGGGAUAACUUCAGGAAACUGGGGCUAAUACCGGAUAGGAGCUCCUGCUGCAUGGUGGGCGUUGGCCAGUUUCGGCGGUUGGGGAUGGACUCGCGGCUUAUCAGCUUGUUGGUGGGGUAGUGGCUUACCAAGGCUUUGACGGGUAGCCGGCCUGAGAGGGUGACCGGCCACAUUGGGACUGAGAUGCGGCCCAGACGCGUACGGGAGGCAGCAGUGGGGAAUGGUGCAGGAUGGGCGGAAGCCUGAUGCAGCAGCGGCGGGUGCGGGAGGAGGGCCUUCGGGGUGUAAACCGCUUUGGCGUGGGAGGAAGCGUGAGUGGCGGUAAUGGGUGAGGAGGCACCGGCUAACUACGUG